GUCGGCCAGGCCCGGCGGGAGAGGAGCAGCUGUCCCCUGCUGAAGGGCUUCAAGGAAGGACCCUCUACUUGUCCUGGACAAUUUCCAGUGGAAGGGGAUCCUUCCCAACUAGCAGAAACCUCUCUCCAAGAAGUGGACGACAGUUGGGCCAGCCUCGUAACAGCACAAAACUAUAUGCAUUUAUUCACCAGCCAUGAGAAAAAUCAGCUCAAGGAGGCAAAGAUCCUGUUUCCACUCUAACCCCUCAUCAGAGUGACAUAGAAGCAAGUGAUGCUAGAGCCUUUCAGAAGUCCGAGAUUUUCCUCCCUCAUGCCCUCCAUUAUGGAUAAAGAAACUGAGACCAAGUCUGGGACCAGCUCCCCAGUGUCUGCCAGAGUGCCUGACUCCUGGGAGAAAUGUUGACAAAAACAUGGACAAAUAUGUUGAUAAAGGAGUAAAACUAGUAGAAGGAGAUGAGAGAGAUGCCUUUCCAUGGUCAUUUCCCCCAGAGAUGGUGGCGUCUCCACGAGCACACAGUCCCUGCUCCUGAUCAGAUUUCACGUUGUUAAUGGGGCAAGACCAUUGCAAGUUCUAGUUUGUGGUCUGACCAACAUGAGGUAGGCUUCUGUCCUCUUUGGGACAGCGCUGAAACUUGUGUCCUUUGAAUUCUGCCCCGGGUCAGUCUGGCCCAUCUUCUCUGCCCUGAUCACUGCCUGAUGAAGGACACUGGAGAUGAUUAGCUGGCUUGCAUGUACGGUGUCACCACAUCCAUCUAGAGGGCAGCCUUGUUGAGCCCCACCCAGCAAACAAGCCUAAGUGAGAACCACCCCCCCAUCCUCCCCAACCCACACUUUCAUAGAAUUCUUUCACCCUGAGCCACAAUCUUGAAUUACCCAAAAUACUUUAAAAAUGUUCCUACCUGGGUCCCUGCCCUAAGGGAUUCUGAUUUAAUUGCUCUGGAGCACAGCCCGGGCAUCAGGAAUUUCAGAAGUUCUCCAGAUGUUUCUAAUGUGAGGCCAAGCCCAAUAACCUCUGCAUCAGCUCCACUGUCUCCCCAUCACCUGAUACCGUCCUUGGCAUUCGAGGAAUGUUUGUUGAAUGAAUAAAGGCAGGAAUGAUGAGGGAAUGGAUGAAUGCAGGGCUUCCUACCCAACAUGGAGCCGGAGAAUAAGCUAGGAAUGUUUUGCAAAACACAUGAGCCCAGUCCCAGCACCCCUUCCACUCUCCAUGUCCCUCCAUCUCCAUCCUUCACUAACUCAGAUUCAGUUUGCCUGCCUAUCAUUUGGGUUCGUGUGCUUUGCAAAAACUCUACAGGUGAUGCCAAAGAUGCGGCUUUGAUUAAGAAGACGAGUGAGUGAAUGAAUCAGUGAAUGAGUGUGUGAGACAGCUGAGCUAAUGGAGAGUUUUUGUUGGGACCAAGAAACUGAAGAAGCAAAGACAGAGGCGCUUUCUCUCUGGGUUUAGGAAAUUGGUGGGUAUCAUCUUCUGCUAGUCUCGUCUCCUUUCACUUGAGUGGCAAAAUAAACAGCACUUGCUGGGGAAGCAGGAGGUAGCGGUUGCCUCCUUCCUGUGUCUCCUCUCCUCUUGCUAAGAGAAGCCAACAAUUGCCGGGGAACAGGAGCCUAGACUCCUCAGAUUCCAAUUUGCAGGUUGCUACGGUUGCUCCCUUAUUGUUAGCACACACAUCAGAUUGGAAAUUGAGGUCACGGUAAGGAGGGGGAAAUGGCGGGGUGGAGGGGGGAGAGUGAGCCGACUGGGAAUUUGGCCAUAAAUCCCCUGGUGCUCAGCUCCACUCAGCAGGACUCUGGAGCCUGAGGAGUUCUCGAAGGUGUUUAACCUGGGGUCACUGGGGAUGCUGGGGAGUGACAGAGGAAGCCAGGGAUGACGGAGAGGAAAGAGACCCAGCAAGUGAGCCCCUGCAGGUAGCGGGAAGUCACCUCUUCCGUCUCAUCAUCUGCCCCCCUGGGCCUGCAGGGGACAGGCAGUGAUACCGUCCCUCUGCCUAGGGACUGCAGACCGCCAACAGGUGGGCUUGUAGUGAUUUAGAAGAACGAGCAGAAGAGGGAUCCCUGGGUGGCUCAGCGGUUUGGUGCCUGCCUUCGGCCCGGGGUGUGAUCCUGGAGUCCCGGGAUCGAGUCCUGCGUCGGG